rnacentral:rRNA from 1 species
GAUGAACGCUGGCGGCGUGCCUAACACAUGCAAGUCGAGCGAACGGACGCGAAUCGUGCUUUUCUGAUGUUAGCGGCGGACGGGUGAGUAAUACGUGGAUAACCCACCUAUAAGACUUGGAUAAGGUCGGGAAACCGGAGUUAAUACCGGAUACUAUUUUGAAUCGCAUGGUUCAAAAGUGAUAGACGUUUUUGCUGUCACUUAUAGAUGGAUCCGCGCUGCAUUAGCGAGUUGGUAAGGUAACGGCUUACCAAAGCAACGAUGCAUAGCCGACCUGAGAGGGUGAUCGGCCACACUGGGACUGAGACACGGUACAGACUCCGACGGGAGGCAGAAGUAGGGAAUCUUCCGAAAUGGGCGGAAGCCUGACGGAGCAACGCCGCGUUGAUGAUGCAGGUCUUCGGAUCGUAUGACUCUGUUAUUGGGGAAGAACAUAUGUGUAAGUAACUGUGCACAUCUUGACGGUACCUAGACAGAAAGCCACGGCUAACUACGUG